UGGGGAAUUUUGCACAAUGGGGGAAACCCUGAUGCAGCGACGCCGCGUGAUUUAGAAGGCCUUCGGGUUGUAAAAAUCUUUUCUAUGGGAAGAAAAUGACAGUACCAUAGGAAUAAGGACCGGCUAAUUACGUGCCAGCAGCCGCGGUAAUACGUAAGGUCCGAGCGUUGUCCGGAAUCAUUGGGCGUAAAGGGUACGUAGGCGGGUAAGCAAGUUAGAAGUGAAAUCCUAUAGCUCAACUAUAGUAAGCUUUUAAAACUGCUCAUCUUGAGGUAUGGAAGGGAAAGUGGAAUUCCUAGUGUAGCGGUGAAAUGCGCAGAUAUUAGGAGGAAUACCGGUGGCGAAGGCGACUUUCUGGCCAUAACCUGACGCUGGGGUACGAAAGCGUGGGUAGCAAGCGGG
rnacentral:rRNA from 1 species